AUUAAAAAAAAAAGAAAUGAAAAAUCAUUCACAAUUAUCUUUACUAUACUAUCGACUUAAGAAUAUACAUAUGUAUAUACUUUGUGGGUUCUGCCACGUCUCCUUCAGCCUGUUACAUACAUUUCAACAAAACCAUGUACAUGUACAUAUGUACAUACAUACAUAUUAGAAUUAUAACAUGUAGGCGAAUAACCAAAAUAUACAUACAAAUGUACAUAGGUAAAUCGAUACCAGUAAUAAACUCAUUUGCAAACAAGUUGUUUUUUAGUUUAAAAUCUGAUAUUAACAAAUUGUUGAAACAGAAUAUUUAGUUGGUGGGCUUUUGUUCUUCGUUCUAUAUUUUUUUUUCGAUAGUUACAAACAAUUCUAAAAUUACGUCAAUUAUUAUCUUAUUUCAUUCUAAAGGACUAUUUUAAUAUUUUGGCAGAAAGCUAUAAGUACAUACAUACAUACAUACGAACAUAUGUAAAUACCCAGUGGCGACGACCUGAAUGAGCGCAUUUGUAAUGUACAAAAUAAAAAGUGCUACUCAUACGACAGAAUCGAGCUCUUGUCAACUUCGUUUCUGUAUGCCCCUUCCCCGCUAACCAACAAACGAUUUUCGUCUUUCGUUGCGUCGCGACGAAAUCGCCGAAUUUCGUUUUGGACUUUACCGUUUUUUGCAUGGAAUGCGUGCCUUCUUUCGUUUGGUUUUUUUGUCUAUGCCUAUUCCUUUUGUGUGUAUAGUGUUAAUGAGUGUAAAUACAAGUUCAAAAAUGCA